UCUGUUUCUGUAUACGUAUGCCAUAGCAUAUUAUUUCUGUUGCAUGGGACAUGGGUUUAUAUUGAUGGAGGAAGCGUUCUGGCAGCCUCGUUGCAGUCUGGUGGCUUCGCCACAUAUAUAUAUCUGUUCUGGUGGCCUAGCCACAAUAUCUGUAUCUGGUGACUUCGUCACAAUAUCUGGCAACUUCGCUGCAAUUUAUGCGGUGUGUAGCGGUUGGGUGGGUCGAGUAG
rnacentral:lncRNA from 1 species